CCCGCACAAGCAGCGGAGCGUGUGGUUUAAUUCGAUGCUACACGAAGAACCUUACCAGGGUUUUGACAUACAAGUGGUAGAGAAGCGAAAGCGGACCGACCCUUUCGGGGAGCUUGUACAGGUGCUGCAUGGCUGUCGUCAGCUCGUGUCGUGAGAUGUUCGGUUAAGUCCCGCUAACGAGCGCAACCCUCACUGUGUGUUAUACGUGUCACACGGGACCGCCGGUUUUAAGCCGGAGGAAGGUGGGAUGACGUCAAGUCAGCAUGGCCUUUAUAUCUUGGGCCACACACACGCUACAAUGGCCAGUACAAUGGGAUGCCAAGCCGCAAGGCGGAGCCAACCCUAAAAGGCCGGUCUCAGUUCGGAUUGCAGGCUGCAAUUCGCCUGCAUGAAGUCGGAAUCGCUAGUAAUCGCAGGUCAGCAUACUGCGGUGAAUACGUUCCCGGGCCUU
rnacentral:rRNA from 1 species